rnacentral:rRNA from 1 species
AGCAGCCGCGGUAAUUCCAGCUCCAAUAGCGUAUAUUAAAGUUGUUGCAGUUAAAAAGCUCGUAGUUGAAUUUCGGGGUUCUACCGUUGGUCGGGCUAUUGUCUGUACUGGCGUGUAGAAUUUCUACCUUCUGGGGAACUAUCAUGUUAUUAAUUUAGCGUGGUAGGAAACCAGGACCUUUACCUUGAAAAAAUUAGAGUGUUCAAAGCAGGCUUAUGUCUGAAUACAUUAGCAUGGAAUAAUAAAAUAGGACGGUGGUCCUGUUUUGUUGGUUUCUGAAUCACCGUAAUGAUUAAUAGGGAUAGUUGGGGGCAUUAGUAUUCAAUUGUCAGAGUGAAAUUCUUGGAUUUAUUGAAGACUAACUACUGCGAAAGCAUUUGCCAAGGAUGUUUCAUUAAUCAAGAACGAAAGUUAGGGAUCGAAGACGAUCAGAUACCGUCGUAGUCUUAACCAUAAACUAUGCCGACUAGGGAUCGGACGAUGUUAACUUUUCUUGACUCGUUCGCGUCCUUACGGGAAC